UCUUCCCCACACCGCCCAUUCC
rnacentral:miRNA from 1 species